CAACCAUCAAAAAAUACUAUUUUCUCAUGGCCUACUGAGGGGAGAAAAUAAUAGAAAACACAAUGCUCGCACGGAAAAAUAUUUCAAAAUAUUUGAAAAAUUUUACUUUCGU